AUAAAUCUAUAGGAUUUUGGGCUAAUAAUUUCAGAUUCUGUAUGACUACUACAUAGGCCCAUUCUCGAAAACAUCUAAUGAAGCGAAGAAGUGGAGUUCGUCUCUCCCCUUCAUUCUGCGGCUGCUUUGCAACGACUGGGCUUCAAAAUCUCUGAAACGUUCCGAGUUUGUAGCUUUUUCCUUUAUUUUUAUUUACGUUCAGCUAAUAAAAAGAUCUUCCCUGCUAAAGUAAAAUCGCAAACUAGGGUUCAUCUUUUUUUUUUUAAUGUCUACACCAACAAUGGAGUUUGGGGAUGACGACUGAGACAAAACGUCAUGGAGAAUCUCGGUGUCUAGGUUCGAGAUAACGAUUCGUUUUUGGUUCUUAUCCUUGAAGACGUUACGAGCUGUCCAGACUCAUCACCUUUAAGAAACCUCUUUACUCCAUGGACAGCACAUCAAGCACGAUCUGACAUUCAAUGCUGCUUAUUCCUCUUCUAGGCGGUGUUUUCUCUUAUAUAAAGUGUUCUUUCACAGUUGAGGUACGACUUCUCCGGUCUUGGAAGGCGAGGAACAUGAAAAGCUGUGGCAAGUUGAUGGGUGUGGCGACUUAUUACGUUCUUUAAACUCAUGAUCAUUAAAACUAUUCCAGCGUUUUAACUUAAAUUAUCAAGCUAUUGUGUUCAUAUCUUUAUUGAACCUCUUUUGAAUGAGAAAAGUUGGUUGAUUACCUUUCUAUCUUCUUCUCUCUCAGUAUAGAUCAACAUCAAACCGGAGUCAUCACCAACACGAGUUACGCCGGAGCAGGAUCCAGUGUCGGUCGUUGCGAACCGAAGAUCUUGAACAUCAUGUGAUGUUGGACGAGGAUUUAGUAGACCGUUCUUGAGUCAGGUGACAGAGACCGCUCCUGGGAUUCUAGACUUCUCACUUCAGUGGAAAUAAUACAAAGAGAUGAUGGAUUUGGUGGUGGAAUCUGUAAGGAAACAAUCUUUGGAGCUGCAGGAGAAAAAAAAGAUUCUGAUUUGAAACAGCCUUUGGAAGCACAAUUAAUGAGAGAAAUCACACCUCUUUAUUGGCAUGAAGCUUUAACGUUUUCAUUUAAACAGGAAGGCACAACUAUCUUGGAGGUGAUAUGCCUUCUGCCACAUGUAUCAACUGCAACUGCUCAGAUGGUGAGAAAACAGCUACUGUUCAGAUCACCGGAGGUGACGACAACCUCUCAAACCACCCUGGCGCAUCGGAUGCAACAGCCGCUGCAGAGCAGCCCACUUCUGACGGAAGCAAUGCAGAGGAAUAUCUGGUUCCAGCAGCAGGAAAUGCACUAAAAAGCACGCACGGAUUAGUUGCUUAAGUGAUGGAACUGAAGACCCUAAUAUUUACUUGAACCAUCUUUGACGUUAUGAUAUUUUUUCUUCAAGUUUUAUGACUUUUCUACCAUGUUUAGUUUACUCCAUCAAGUUUAAUUAUGAUAUAUGAACCAUGUUCGCUUCUUCUUCCAUAAAUAAUAUACGUCUUUUAUUCCA